rnacentral:rRNA from 1 species
UGAGCUCGAUGAGUAGGGCGGGACACGUGGUAUCCUGUCUGAAUAUGGGGGGCCCAUCCUCCAAGGCUAAAUACUCCUGACUGACCGAUAGUGAACCAGUACCGUGAGGGAAAGGCGAAAAGAACCCCGGCGAGGGGAGUGAAAAAGAACCUGAAACCGUGUACGUACAAGCAGUGGGAGCACGCUUAGGCGUGUGACUGCGUACCUUUUGUAUAAUGGGUCAGCGACUUAUAUUCUGUAGCAAGGUUAACCGAAUAGGGGAGCCGAAGGGAAACCGAGUCUUAACUGGGCGUUAAGUUGCAGGGUAUAGACCCGAAACCCGGUGAUCUAGCCAUGGGCAGGUUGAAGGUUGGGUAACACUAACUGGAGGACCGAACCGACUAAUGUUGAAAAAUUAGCGGAUGACUUGUGGCUGGGGGUGAAAGGCCAAUCAAACCGGGAGAUAGCUGGUUCUCCCCGAAAGCUAUUUAGGUAGCGCCUCGUGAAUUCAUCUCCGGGGGUAGAGCACUGUUUCGGCAAGGGGGUCAUCCCGACUUACCAACCCGAUGCAAACUGCGAAUACCGGAGAAUGUUAUCACGGGAGACACACGGCGGGUGCUAACGUCCGUCGUGAAGAGGGAAACAACCCAGACCGCCAGCUAAGGUCCCAAAGUCAUGGUUAAGUGGGAAACGAUGUGGGAAGGCCCAGACAGCCAGGAUGUUGGCUUAGAAGCAGCCAUCAUUUAAAGAAAGCGUAAUAGCUCACUGGUCGAGUCGGCCUGCGCGGAAGAUGUAACGGGGCUAAACCAU